AUCCAGCUGACGAGUCUUGAAAAGGACGAAAUGUGCAUGCUGGAU
rnacentral:hammerhead_ribozyme from 1 species